UGACAGCAUUGUGGUCAAGAAGCUUGGCAAGGAAAAAUUGACUUCUUGGGUGGCCCCAGGAACAAGCACUAGUGAUGUUCCUGACAACUGUGCAGUUUGGGCAUGGCUGCAGAAGAGUAUCCCGGAUGAGGAGGACCUGUGGAUUGCCAAG